UUAACUAUUAUAUAGUACUCAGACGACACUAAUAUUCAGGGUUUUGGGUCCUCUGGCGGGCGCUUACCAGCCGGGGCCGGUAGUCGGGCCGGAGCCUAACGGCCCGCCAAAGCAACAAAGUAAUGAUAACAUAGGGUGGGAAUUCUACCCGGUACGGGGAACUCGUUAAUGAUCCCUCCGCAGGUUCACCUACGGAGA
rnacentral:misc_RNA from 1 species